AUAUUGCACAAUGGGCGGAAAGCCUGAUGCAGCGACGCCGCGUGCGGGAUGACGGCUUCGGGUUGUAAACCGCUUUGACAGGGACGAAGCGCAAGUGACUGUACCUGUAGAAUAAGGACCGGCCCAACUACGUGCCAGCAGCCGCGGUAAUACGUAGGGUCCGAGCGUUGUCCGGAAUUACUGGGCGUAAAGAGCUUGUAGGCGGUUCGUCGCGUCGUUUGUGAAAACUUGGGGCUCAACCUUAAGCUUGCAGGCGAUACGGGCGGACUAGAGUACUUCAGGGGAGACUGGAAUUCCUGGUGUAGCGGUGAAAUGCGCAGAUAUCAGGAGGAACACCGGUGGCGAAGGCGGGUCUCUGGGAAGUAACUGACGCUGAGAAGCGAAAGCAUGGGUAGCAAACAGGAUUAGAUACCCUGGUAGUCCAUGCCGUAAACGGUGGGUACUAGGUGUGGGGCUCCUUCCACGGACUCCGUGCCGUAGCUAACGCAUUAAGUACCCCGCCUGGGGAGUACGGCCGCAAGGCUAAAACUCAAAGAAAUUGACGGGGGCCCGCACAAGCGGCGGAGCAUGUGGAUUAAUUCGAUGCAACGCGAAGAACCUUACCUGGGUUUGACAUACACCGGAAACCUGCAGAGAUGUAGGCCCCCUUGUGGUCGGUGUACAGGUGGUGCAUGGCUGUCGUCAGCUCGUGUCGUGAGAUGUUGGGUUAAGUCCCGCAACGAGCGCAACCCUUAUCUUAUGUUGCCAGCGCGUAAUGGCGGGGACUCGUGAGAGACUGCCGGGGUCAACUCGGAGGAAGGUGGGGACGACGUCAAGUCAUCAUGCCCCUUAUGUCCAGGGCUUCACACAUGCUACAAUGGCCGGUACAGAGGGCUGCGAUACCGCGAGGUGGAGCGAAUCCCUUAAAGCCGGUCUCAGUUCGGAUCGGGGUCUGCAACUCGACCCCGUGAAGUUGGAGUCGCUAGUAAUCGCAGAUCAGCAACGCUGCGGUGAAUACGUUCCCGGGCCUUGUACACACCGCCCGUCACGUCAUGAAAGUCGGUAACACCCGAAGCCGGUGGCCUAACCCCUUGUGGAGGAGCCGUCGAAGUUGGUUUUGCGGU
rnacentral:rRNA from 1 species